GCCGCCGAGCGCCCGGCAGGGCGCCCCCUCUGGAUACGCGGGGAGCUGGAAGCGCGGGUUCGAGUCCCGCCGGCGGCAC
rnacentral:tRNA from 1 species